rnacentral:rRNA from 1 species
GACGAACGCUGGCGGCGUGCCUAAUACAUGCAAGUUGAGCGCUGAAGGUUGGUACUUGUACCAACUGGAUGAGCAGCGAACGGGUGAGUAACGCGUGGGGAAUCUGCCUUUGAGCGGGGGACAACAUUUGGAAACGAAUGCUAAUACCGCAUAAAAACUUUAAACACAAGUUUUAAGUUUGAAAGAUGCAAUUGCAUCACUCAAAGAUGAUCCCGCGUUGUAUUAGCUAGUUGGUGAGGUAAAGGCUCACCAAGGCGAUGAUACGUAGCCGACCUGAGAGGGUGAUCGGCCACAUUGGGACUGAGACACGGCCCAAACUCCUACGGGAGGCAGCAGUAGGGAAUCUUCGGCAAUGGACGAAAGUCUGACCGAGCAACGCCGCGUGAGUGAAGAAGGUUUUCGGAUCGUAAAACCCUGUUGGUAGAGAAGAACGUUGGUGAGAGUGGAAAGCUCAUCAAGUGACGGUAACUACCCAGAAAGGGACGGCUAACUACGUG